GACGAACGCUGGCGGCGUGCCUAACACAUGCAAGUCGAGCGAACGGACGAGAAGCUUGCUCCCCUGAUGUUAGCGGCGGACGGGAGAGUAACACGUGGAUAACCUACCUAUAAGACUGGGAUAACUUUGGGAAACCGGAGCUAAUACCCGAUAAUAUUUUGAACCGCAUGGUUCAAAAGUGAAAGAAGGUCUUGCUGUCACUUAUAGAUGGAUCCGCGCUGCAUUAGCUAGUUGGUAAGGUAACGGCUUACCAAGGCAACGAUGCAUAGCCGACCUGAGCGGGUGAUCGGCCACACGGGAACAGAGACAGGGUCCAGACACCUGCGGGAGGCAGCAGUAGGGAAUCGUACGCAAUGGAGGAGAGCCUGACGGAGCAACGCGGCGUGAGUGAUGAAGGUGCUCGGAUCGGAAAGCUCUGUUAUUAGGAGAGAACAUAUGUGUAAGUAACCGUGCAGAUAUUGACGGUACCUGAAGAAAAAGCCACGGCUAACUACGUG
rnacentral:rRNA from 1 species